AUGUACAUGCCACAACAUAGCGUUAAUGCAACAGAUCCCAUUAGAACUCCGCAGUUAAGCACACUCAGGCUACAGUAGUACUGGGAUGGGUGAUCGCCCGAGAAGUCCUUGUGUUUUACAUA
rnacentral:rRNA from 1 species